UUAACCCAAAUGCACCACGUAGUCACCCUCGUGGACUCAGCAGCACUACUGGACUUAAAUUUACAAAGAUACAAGGAGCUCAGAGCAGAGGGCAGCUGGACGCCCACUGAAGCACAACAAUGAAUGUAUCUAUAGAAAGCACCGAAACAUAAGGUCACCAUCCCCCUUUGUCCCCUCCAACAAUCUCCAUCAGCAGCAAAGUUUGUCCUCCAGAGCUGUGGAGUGUGACAAUGGUGUUUGUUUCCUCUCUAUCAAACGCCAUUAUCACACUAAAUAGCUACAGUGCGGAAAGGACCUCGGUGCACUCGCUUCAAGUCAGGGUUCGUGCAGUUGAUUUAUGUUGUCCUAAAUGUUUUGCGCUCUUCAGCUUCUGUUCUUUCAAUUCUUGCUGUCCUCCUGAGGAGGAACACGUGUGGCCGUGUGUGUGACAGCACAGGACAUGUUGCACCACCGCAGGGAUGGAAUUAGACUUAAAAUGAGUUGAAGCAUGACGUUAAGACCCUUGAUGUGACCCUAGUUCAUUUGUAUUUAUUUUUGUCGUGAUUAUUGUUUAUUUUUUUUUGCAUGUAAAACCACAGUUUAAUAUUUUAUGUUCUUGAUUAAUUCCAAUUUUUUAACAUGUAAGCAGUACUUAUGUAUGUAUUAGUUUUACUUGUUGUUGGUUUAUUUAGCAUUUUGUGAUUCUGGAUCAAAUAAUAAAGUGGAUGCUCCAAGCUGUUCCUGAGAAAUAAGAAAUGUCAAAAAUGUUAUCAGAUUGCACGUGUAUACAGAGGAAUAAUUAAUAGCACAUAUGUCACUAUAAACAAGAAAAAUGUUUUAAAA